CAAUCUGAUUUUCCCUCUCCUCUUCCUGCGUUGUUCGGGGCCCGGCACACUCUGCUCAGCUCACGAACCCUCUUUCUAGUGCAACGAGAGGCAAGACCAAAGAAGGUUAUGGAGGAGGUGAGGAUUCAAAAACCAGAUGGAUGACUCAAUGAAAUGCCUGGGAGUCAUAAAUGGAGAAUGUGAAGAUAGAAACAAUACUUCUUCAACCCUUGUUCUCCUGUUCCUCACUGUGUAACAGCUUCCAUGAUGAUCUCAGCAUGGACUAGGGAUGCACUCAUACUCAUCCUUCCAGCCUCUGCUUUCCAGGAGCUUGGUGGAGAAGGUGAUGAGAGCUGAUGUUGUUGAUGUAGGUGAACGGAGGCUAUGCGGCUGGGCAGUUACAGGAGGUAGUUAGUGACAAGGAGUCCUUAAGGUCUUCCCUCUUCUCCACUGCCCUCCCCUGAGCUGUUCUUCUGGGGUGUUCAGGCAACAACUAGCUUUUUCCCAGGUAUACCUAUCAAGCAGAGCAUUGUGAUCAAUCCUGAUGACCCCCUAAAACUGAGGUUUUUACAGUGUAAUAAUAAUUGAUGUUUGACAAAGUGCUCAGUAGUCUCUAAAAUUGGAAGAUAUCUUUUACUGAGGCCUAGAUAGGUCAUCCUUAGCAGAGAGCACCCAAACAAUGUGACUUAAACCAGAUUUCAUUCAGUAAUUUAUCAGUAUUAUUGAACACUACAUCUGAAACUAAUGAUGUCCUGUAAGUUGGCUAAUAGAAUUUAAAUAAAAAUAAAAAUAAAUAAUUAAAACACAAACAAAAAUCCCUCACAUUUCGUGACUCUAAAUUCCAUGGUUCUUUUCACUCUCUGUGACACCUUUCCAGUUGGGAGGGAGACUGUUUUAGCUCUUCCCAAUUAAUAGCUUAAAGGGAAGCCAAAAUAUUGAUACUCCUCAAUCCUCAAGGUGGCCUGGUAAAAGCUGUGUGCCAAG